CGACGAGUGGCGAACGGGUGAGUAACACGUGAGUAACCUGCCCACAACUUUGGGAUAACGCUAGGAAACUGGUGCUAAUACUGGAUAUGUGCUCCUGCUGCAUGGUGGGGGUUGGAAAGUUUCGGCGGUUGGGGAUGGACUCGCGGCUUAUCAGCUUGUUGGUGGGGUAGUGGCUUACCAAGGCUUUGACGGGUAGCCGGCCUGAGAGGGUGACCGGCCACAUUGGGACUGAGAUACGGCCCAG
rnacentral:rRNA from 1 species